CUAUCCUAUAGAAAGUCGCCAUUUUCAUUGCGACGGACAGGAACGAAGCAGUACAUCUGCCUAAAUUUCUCAAUUUUCGUUGAAAUUGGUCUGUGUAAUCUUCCAAAAUGAUGCAAGGUUUGACGUGGUCGAGCUUAAAGCACCAUAAAGCGUUGAUUCCUCUGUUCAUUGCAACCGGGGAGGAGCAGUAUUUGCAGCUUUCUACUUGACUAGGCUGGUAACGAAAAGCCCAGAUGCAUCAUGGAGGAGGAGCACCAACCCACACCCAUGGCAGAACAUCAAACCAGACCAAAACAUAAAGUUCUAUUCAGCAGGCAAGAUUGACUUCAAGAACCUAAAAAAGAAUAGCCCUGACUUAUAAGUACCCUGAACUGCUCUCUUCUUUAUGUCAUUAUUUGACACAGAAAUUUCUAUACAUAUGAGAUACCUAAAAUUGUGAAUGUACAGUGUGAAUUUAUUUGUAAUGAUUACGUAAGACCUCACCUGUUUAUAUUGAAAUAGGACAAUGCAGAUAUGGUCAUGUUAUAUUCUUUGAGUUGCAACAGAUUUAAAGUCCUGCCUUUUUGUAGCAGUUACAUCAAGCUGUACAUUCAGUUUUGGGAUGUUUAAGAAUAGAACACAUUUGUUCAGUAAUCUGUUGUUUUUUGGGCUAUUUUACAGGAUAUAUUUCUUCUACCAGACUAUAUUUCAUUGUAUGAAUCAUCAGUUGCAUAUGAAAUGAAGUCCCCAAGUUAUCACCCUACUGUAAUAAGCACUGACAUAUGCUUUGAUAAUCAGACAUUGUAUUCUAAAAUCUAAAUUGGAUACUUUGCAUUGAUCACUUUGAGUCAUCCAAUCUCAGAAACCAGAAUUAGAAACUACUGCUGAUAAAUGAUUUCACAUGUCCUAGAAUCAAAUUUGGUCAAACAGUCUAUCCAGGGAAACUACAGUGUAUACCAUAUAAGUAUUGACCCUUGAGCACAAACGUCUGAAAGAGUGGGUACAUUACGCACAAAAUGUCUGAGCUGAACUUUACAGAGCACAAAAUGUUAUCCUACUCUCCAUGGUAAAAGUAUUAUCUUUUUCUCAAUUUCUUGACGAGGUUUUGAAACAUUACAGAGCACAAACCGAAAACCUAUGAUCUACCUGUACUGUGUAUACGUAGAAAUUGUUCAUCCAUUUACUAAACAAGUUGCUCGAACUAUAGGGAAAGUCUCAUAUGGACAUAUCUUGCAUAUUAAACUUUGUCCAGAAAGCAAUAUGCCUUAUGUUUGUAAAGCGAUGGACAAAUUGUUUCAAUAAACAUUUGUUGUAAACAAGAA